CUGGAGGACGAGGACCUGCUGGAGGAGAUCCUCCUCCGCCUCCCUCCGAGUCCAUCAUCGCUUCCCCGCGCGUCAGUCGUAUGCAAGCGCUGGCGCGGCAUCGUCUCCGACCCCGAAUUCCUCCGCCGCUUCCGCAAGCACCACCGGAAACCCCCGCUCCUGGGCCUGUUCGGCCCCGAAUCCUCUCCGGGUGCCAGCGCCUUCAGUCCCGCUCUGGACCCGCCCGACCGCAUCCCUCCCAAGCGCUUCGCCGUGCCCAGGAGCAGCAGCAUUGGACCCGACAACGAUGACCGCUGGGACGUGCUCGGCUGUCGCCAUGGCCUCGCCGUCCUAGCCAACGUGCCGCGGCGCGUGAUCACCGUGUGGGAUCCGCUCACCGGCCGACAGCGCCGCGUGGCCUUUCCGCCGGGGCUCGGCUCCGUCCCUUGGGUGAUAUAUCGGCAGGCCGCGGUGCUGUGCGCCGAUGCCGGAGAAGGGCACGUGCACGGCGACUGCUUCUCGAGCCCGAUCAAACUGGUCUUGGUCUGGGUUGUCGUCAUAAGCAGGCAAGCAUGCGCCUGCGUCUAUGAAUCGGCCACCGGUGUGUGGGGAGAUAUUGUCUCUACAAAGAUUACACCUCAGUUUUUUGACAUAAAGCCCGCCAUCCUUGUUGGGGAUGCACUUUGCUGGUGUCUUUCUGGUGGCGAUGCCCUUACAUUUGGUCUCGAAACCCAGAGCCUUGGUGUGAUCAAGAAGCCGAUACUUUCCCCUUUGACCGACUUGCGCUACGGAAUGAUUCAGCUCUUCCGGACAGAGGAUGGUGGGCUUGGCUUCGCGCAUUUGUUGGCGCACACCAUGAAAUUAUGGGUGCUGGGAUCAAACCGUGAUGGUAUUUCCAGAUGGGUGCUUCUGCAAACCUUUCAGCUGGAGGAGCUCUUUCCACAGGGAACGUUUAGCGACUCCGAAUGGGCAAGGAUGACGGGGUAUGAUGAGGACACAAAUGCGAUUAUUUUGUCUACGGUGAUUGGCGACUUCACGUUCCAAGUUGACACGGGCGAGAUCAACCAUAUUAUUAAAAGAAAUGGCAGACGUUGCCAUGCUUAUUAUCCCUACAGAAAUUUCUAUACCGCGGGU
rnacentral:rRNA from 1 species